AUUGAACGCUGGCGGCAGGCCUAACACAUGCAAGUCGAGCGGAUGAAGGGAGCUUGCUCCUGGAUUCAGCGGCGGACGGGUGAGUAAUGCCUAGGAAUCUGCCUGGUAGUGGGGGAUAACGUCCGGAAACGGGCGCUAAUACCGCAUACGUCCUGAGGGAGAAAGUGGGGGAUCUUCGGACCUCACGCUAUCAGAUGAGCCUAGGUCGGAUUAGCUAGGUGGUGGGGUAAAGGCCUACCAAGGCGACGAUCCGUAACUGGUCUGAGAGGAUGAUCAGUCAUACUGGAACUGAGACACGGUCCAGACUCCUACGGGAGGCAGCAGUGGGGAAUAUUGGACAAUGGGCGAAAGCCUGAUCCAGCUAUGCCGCGUGUGUGAAGAAGGUCUUCGGAUUGUAAAGCACUUUAAGUUGGGAGGAAGGGCAGUAAGUUAAUACCUUGCUGUUUUGACGUUACCAACAGAAUAAGCACCGGCUAACUUCGUG
rnacentral:rRNA from 1 species